rnacentral:lncRNA from 1 species
CUGCAGUUUAGAGAGGGUAGAGUGAUGUUUGGGCUCACUCUCUUUGGGGGUAUGCUCUGGCAAAGCUCUUCUUUGGAGUCCCUGGGUUCUAGUGUCCUAGGCAGCCCAAAGUCAUGGCUUGAGAUUUUCCACCAUGUUGCAUGCCCUGUAGUAUGCCAGGAAGUACCCUGCCUGAGCUGGAGCACACACCCACAGGCUAAGAAUGAGAUUCUGACAGUUCAGCUGUCCCUGUGUUACUGGAGAUACCCCCUCCAAGACAGCUGCCCUUUCCAAGCUGUAGUUGUUUACCUCCAUGAAGGAUGAGGACACUGGGAUGAGGCUCCAGGUGAUGGCUCAAAGUCUGAACUUGUCCAGGGCACCUGCUCUGCAGCCUUCCAGACACCAGAGGCUGACGACUGGGUAGAUCAGAACAUCAGGAUGCUGAAUGCCUGGUCUCCAAGAAAACUAGCUUAACACAGUCUCCUCAAAUAUAUAUAUCCCUCCCACAUCCACCUGGUUCCUAGCAUGGCUCUAGGGGAAUUUAGCACAUGCAGUAACAGAGACACAAACUUUUGAGGAAAAGCCAGUAAAUUCGCCAGAUAUAAUAAAAAGCAUUUCUGCUUGCCCCCUGCCUCUUCCCUUUGGACUAGCUUUCUUUAUAUGCUUUCUUUUCUUCAAUUAAAUUUCCCAUUUUAAAUCUGUAAUCAGUCCAUGAUUUAUUGUGGAUCAUGGUGGCAAGGUGUAAAGCUUAGGAAAGACUUUUUUUCCCACUAAUAUUUAUUUAUUUAUGAGGGAGGAAGAUGGAGGGCUAGAGGGAGGCAACAUCCUGGAUCGCUCUGUGAUCCAGAUCUCACCUAGUCAGAAUACUGCAUCUCUGAGAGUGUUAGAAGACCCCUACACACCUGCUCUCUGCAGAAAUCACCAGCACUGUGACCCUGCACAGGGUUCUGGACCUCAGUUUUAGAGCAGGACACCCAGCAUUUGAGCAGGACCCAAAGCCCAAAGUUCUAGCCAAAGCAGGGUUCAUGAGCACCUUAACAGAAUCACCUAUGAACACAUCUGCAGAUCUCCAAGACUUUGCUCUACUCCCAUGCUGGUCACUCAGCUGCUACCCACCCACAGCACAAUGCCAUCGUCCAGCUUCCCCCACCUCACCAGACACCCUGGCACUGAAAGAAGACUGCCUCCAUCUUGGCUCAACAGUCUCACCAUAUUAGGUGGGGGAAGCUCCCAGAUCAGAUCUUCAGCAGCCAGGUACCAAAAUCCCAACCUUCCCCCCUCUUCAGCAUUGUUAACCCAACACAGUAGCUGCCCAACACAGGUGUGCAGUGUGACCAGGGAGCUUCCCACGGGAGCCCCUGUGUGAGAGGUUCCUCAAUUGAGAACUGCUAAGGGAGAAAGGACGAAAGUUUGGAGCCUAACAGAGAGACCAGGAACUGGGGAAUCUCCAGGCAAGAUACGGAGAUAGUACCAGGUGCUCAAGUCAUAGAAGUCACCCCCCAAAAGAGACUCAUGAGGUGCAGUCUCCCUGCAGGGACUGGCAGGUGCUAUGCCCUGCUUCCAGAAUCACUGCACCAGGACCAAUCUUUUCACCCUGGUUACCUCCACCCUCCUGAGGGCAGAGACAUCAGCUUACAACAGACAACACCUUCUAUUGGAUGAGAAGAGAAGCAGGAAAGAUACAGAUCUCUAAAACUAGCAACAACCUCAGUUUCUUCCUUUGAGAUAUGUUCCCCUCUUCUACUCCUCUAUUCUCCAGCCCUCACAUCUGCAACAUAUGUGAAAACAAGAACUUUGCAUGAAAUAGGACUUAGAGGACUGAGUCAUCUGAAUAAUAUAGAGUUGUUGUAUCUGCUCUUUUUUUCCUUUUCUUUUCCUUUUUCUUCUUUCAUUUUUCUUUCCCCUUCCAUAACUUGCUAUUUUAACAUGUGCAUUUUUCUAAAUAUAUAUGUGUGUGGGUUUUAUGUACUCUACUGUCUUCCCAAGUACUUGUCUACCCUAAAUUACUUCCGGUCUAUUCCUUUGCUACUAACCCUCUCCAUUAGAUUUCUUCUUUACACUACCUAAGGUAUAUUAACUCUAUAUCCUCACAUCCUACUUCCUCAGGAUAUCAUCUUAUACUCCACUCCCAGUUCAUUGUCCACCAUCAGAAACAGUAAACCUUUUUACAAAACUACUGAUUAUAUUUUAGAUAAUAAUUGAAUCCAACAUUUCUGUACAUUGAGACUAAACUGUAAACGUCUUAAUAACAACAAGUUGUUCAUAGGUGGUAUAUUGUUGAUAUUGGGUUCUGUUAACAUUGUCCUUCCCCACAAAGGAAAAGACCCCCACAAAGGAAAGGUCUUGUAACCCUACAAGAGCACUACAAACCUAUAGGGUAAAACCAAUAAUACUCCAGACCCACAGAGAUGAAAAGGAAGACACAUAAGCAACUUGAAAAGAAAAAGAAAGAAAAUGCCCCAAAUAAAUCAAGACACCACAUCAUUAGAAUCAUUGGCAGUCACAUCAGAAGAAAUUACAGAUAAGGAAUUCAGGGUGUACAUGGUUAUAAUGUUCUGUGAACUCAAGGAAGAUGUAAGAGAGCAAAUACAGGCAGUGAAAGAUCACUUUGACAAAAAGCUACAUAAACAAACACAGGAAGCAAAAGAUCAUCUCAACAGGGAGAUAGAGGUUCUAAAACAAAACAAAACAAAAAAACCCGCAACAAUAACCAAAAAAAAAUCCAGAAACAAUAAACCAAAAUGAAAGCUCAAAUUAAAGUAUCACCAACAGAAUAGACCACUUGGAAGAUAGGACAUCAGACAAUGAAAGCAAAAUAUAUAAUCUUGAAAAGAACAGAGGCCACACAGUGAUAAUGAUAAGAAACCAUGAGCAGAACAGUCAAGAAAUGUUGGAUAGCAUAAAAAGACCAAAUUUAAGAGUUAUUGGGAUAGAAGAAGGCAUAGAGGUCCACAUCAAAGGAAUGAACAAUCUAUUCAAUGAAAUAAUAUCAGAAAACUUUCCAAACAUGAAGAAUGAAUUGAAAAUCCAAAUUCAAGAAGGCUACAGGGUGUCAAAUAUAAAAAGUCACAUCAGAUGCACACCACGGCACAUAAUAAUGAAAACGCCCAAUAUACAGAAUAAAGAGAGAAUUUUAAAAGCCACAAGAGAAAGAAAUUAGAUUACAUAUAGGAGAAAACCAAUUAGGAUAACAGCAGAUUUUUCAACAUAAACCCUGAAAGCUAGAAGAUCCUGGUACAAUAUAUAUCAAGCUCUGAAAGUAAAUGGGUGCCAAUUGAGAAUCUUGUAUCCAGCAAAAUUAAGCUUUAGACUUGAAAAUAAAAUAAAAACCUUCCAUGAUAAAUAAAAGUUAAAAGAAUUUAUAGCUAGAAUACUGGCACUGCAAAACAUCCUUGGAAAAAUAUUCCAUGAAUAGGAAGUGAAAAACAACAAUGAAAAUCAUCAGAGGGUGGUAGUAGUACCCUGAAGGAAAAACUAAUCAAAGAAGAAAAUCAAGUCAAAUUAAAUAACAAAAAUAAUCAAAUAUGGCUGGGAAUACAAACCAGGUCUCAAUAAUAACCCUAAAUAUUAAUGGCUUAAACUCACCAAUCAAAAGACAUAGGCUAGCAGAUUGGAUUAAAAAACAAGAUCCAACAAUAUGCUGCCUCCAGGAGACUCAUAGGAAAAGACAUACACAGACCAAAGGUGAAAGGUUGGGAAAAAUCAUACCACUCACAUGGACUUCAGAAGCAAGCAGGGGUUUCUACCCUCAUAUCAAAUAAAGUAGACUUCAAGCCAAAGUUAAUCAAAAGGGAUAAAGAUGAACAUUACAUAUUGCUCAAGGAAACCAUACAACAACAAGACAUAACAAUCAUAAAUAUAUAUGCCCCAAACAAUGGUGCAGUUAUGUUCAUCAUACAAAUUCUUCUCAAGCUGAUAUUUAUUUAUUUGUAAUUAAUAAUUUAUUUAUUAAUUAAUGGGGGUUGGACCCAAAGUUCUUUACCA